rnacentral:rRNA from 1 species
ACCAGGUCAGGACACGGUAAGGAUUGACGGACUGAAGGCUCUUCUCGAUUCCGUGGAAAGUGGUGCAUGGCCGUUUUGGUGGUGGAUCGAUCCGUCUGGUUAAUUCCGUUAACGAACGAGACCUCGGCACUCCGAAUAGCGCGGCGGACGUCGCGGCCUCCGGGCCGUCUUCCGCACGAGCUUCUUAGAGGGACCGUCCCCCCGCCGGGGAAGGAGGUGCGAGGCAACGACAGGUCUGUGAUGCCCUUAGAUGUUCUGGGCCGCACGCGCAUUACACUGACGCGUCCAACGGGUGACUCCCGACCCGAAGGGGCCGGGGAAUCCGCAAAGGCGCGUCGUGAUGGGGAUUGAACGUUGCAAUUGUUGUUCACGAAACGAGGAAUUCCUAGUAGGCGCGGGUCAUCAACCCGCGCCGAUUACGUCCCUGCCCUUUUGUACACACCGC